UUUCUUGCAGACAAGUCUUCCUUGCUCCAGAAUAUUUUGAGAGGUGGACCCUUUGCUGCUUCUUCUUCAUCCAUUUCUGCAAAGCCCAAAACACUCUGCAACCUGCCCAAUCUUAAGCACUUUUAAAACCAUGCAUUGUGGCAGAUGCUAAGCUGGUAUGGGAUUGCCCCCAUUUUAACUGAUUGAAAGAAAGAUCCAGUAAGCAACUUUAAGGUGGGGUGGAUUUCAAUUCCCAGAAUUCCCCAGUCAGCUUCCACGUCAAGCAUACUGGCUGGGGAAUUCUGGGAGCUGAAGUCCAGCCGUUGUAAUUUUGGGGAAUUUAGUGAGUGGAAGUCCACUCGUCUUAAAGUUGCCCACUUUGAGAAACACUGGAUUAAAGCUUAGCCUGGUUGUGUCGUGGUUUGGGCUGUUUGAGGCUAUCAACACUUCCAAGAUCACGUUCACAGCAUUGUAAUUAAAGCCAGGAUGCCAUUUUACAGAUUUUUUUUUCACACUCCUCCCCCCCUCAAAAACCUGGUCUUUUUCAGCUGGAGUCUUUUAACUUUGUGGUGCUCCAGUUCCAAUCAUUUUUCUGGCUGGGAACUAUUGGAGUUUGAAUCUAAAAUAGCUAGAAGACUUCCCCUCGGGGGGGAAAAAAAGCUACUUUUGGCCACUGGCUGUCUUCCUAUUUUUUAUAUAUCUUUUCACCACUCCUUCCUUCCUGCUUUUUCAGGCUCCGCGUAAUUUUUCAGAUGAAGGUUUACAUAGGAAACAAGUUUUUUUUUGCUGAUUUGCUCUGUGUGUGUUUUUGUAAAAAAUUUUGUUGAUGUUGUUUCGGGGUUGUUCCUUUCCCUCGUGCUAUCUGUACACUUUCCUCUGAGAAAGAAAGUCUUUUUCUCCCCUAAAUUCAUUUAGAGCUGGUCUCUUGUUGAACACUCGCGUUUUGCAGUUGCACUGAAGGAAGACUCAAACGAUAGGGGUUUUUUUUUUUGGCACAGAGGUAUUAUCUAAUCCUUUUCAUCCUGGCCUCCUUGCCUUUACAGAAGCUUGGUGGGCUUCUUAUGAGUAAACAGGCAAAGGAUUGUAAAACUGCACCUAAGUCCAGAACUGUGGAAUGCACCUGUAGUUGCGUAGCUGCAUUUAAUUCUGAUUUAAUUUAAUUAAAUCAAUAUUUAAUACCAAAUGUAAGCAAAGAGUUGAUAGCAGAUUGGCUGGCUACAGCUCCAGAAAUCCUCAAUUCCAAUCUUUAUAUAUAUAUAUAUAUAUAUUGAUUGCAAACAUUUUGCCUUGUUGUAUUCUUAGAUCUGUUUUGUUGCCUGAAUGUCGGUAAGAAUGACAACAGAAGCCUAUGUAGGUUCAGAAUUUUAGACCCUUUGAAGAUGCAAUUAUUUUGAUUCUACUAAAUAUAAUUUAUAAAUAUAUAUAUAAUAAGCAAUCCUCUGUGGAGUUUACUCAGGAGGAAAUCCUACCCUAUUGAAUGGGAUUUGUUCCCAGCAAAGCACAAAAUGUUGGCUCACGACUUUGGGCCCCAACCUGAAUUAAUAUUUAAGUAAGUAAUUUAAGUAAUAUUUAAUUUUACUUACUGUAAGUAAGUCUUUUAAUUUUAUGGACCAAUUGGGAGGAACCAGUGUCCGUUAAAGCCAAAUGUUAAUUAAAUCCAACUUUAUGUAACACCCGUGAAUGUUACGUGAUGUUCAUAAUAUUUAUGUCAUACACCCAUGUACUUUACAAAAAAAUAUGUAUCCACAUGGUCUGAUUUACCACGCUGUUUGCUGAAGCCACCCAAAUUCAGAUAUUGUCUGUUAAAUCCAAAGUCUGUUGAAUCAAGGUCUGUAAAAUCGAGAUGGGGUCGUAGCAACAUCCAGACUCAAAUUUUUGCAGUUGGUAGGAAUGACUUGUGUACUAAUUUAAAAGGGGUUUAAAGAUGUUGGAAGCAAUGAGGGAUCCUUGUAUUUCUCUUAUAAGUUGGACAUGGUGUUGAUUCACCAUCUCCCAUCGCUGCAACUUCUCAGUCUCUGGGCCAGGGAAAUUUGCCCGUAGCAUUUUCACCCCAAGAGUUGAAUUUCACUCUCCUGCAAAAUGCCGUAUGGCUUUUUCUUCCUAAGUCCCAAAGGCAGAGACGGAGAGGCGAAUGCUUCCCUCGCAAACAAAAAUAAAAGUAAAAACAAAAACCAACAACAACAAGGCCCAUAGUGGGUAGUGUUUGUAAAUAUUUUAUUGCAACAGUGUUAUUUACUGUGCCUUUUGUGUGUGUGUGAAAAAUGUCAAGUCCGGUGUGAUUUUUGUUGAGGGUGGGUUUAAAAGUGAACAGCAAAAAAAAAACAAAAAACGAUUUUUUUUCCUGAUAUCUGGAAACAAAAAGAAAAAUGGAAAAAGUUUUGUGUUGUUUGUUACUUAUCUGUAAUUUAUAAAUCCCAGUAUCUGGGAUGUUGCUUUCUGUAAAGUAGUGUACAUAUAUAUAUAUAUAAUGUGACUCUCGCUAUAAAUAUAUAUAUAUAUAUAUUAAAGAGGAAAAAUGUGUGGGAGGGAAAUAAUGAUUAAUAUUCUCAGGGAAUUAAACCUGAUCUGCCACAGACUGCCUGUGGCCCGUGUCUUCUCUGUGCUUUCAAUAAAAGAAUUUGUUGGCUAAUUAA